rfam:Sugiyamaella lignohabitans strain CBS 10342 chromosome B, complete sequence.
GGCCGUGUGGUCUAGUAGUAUGAUACUCGCUUUGGGUGGCACUUGUGCAAACACAUCUGCGAGUGGUCCAGGGUUCAAUUCCCUGCUCGGCCC